GAUGAACGCUGGCGGCGUGCCUAAUACAUGCAAGUCGAGCGAACAGACGAGGAGCUUGCUCCUCUGACGUUAGCGGCGGACGGGGGAGUAACACGUGGAUAACCUACCUAGAAGACUGGGAUAACUUCGGGAAACCGGAGCUAAUACCGGAGAAUAUAUUGAACCGCAUGGUUCAAUAGUGAAAGACGGUUUUGCUGUCACUUAUAGAUGGAUCCGCGCCGCAUUAGCUAGUUGGUAAGGUAACGGCUUACCAAGGCAACGAUGCGUAGCCGACCUGAGAGGGUGAUCGGCCACACUGGAACUGAGACACGGUCCAGACUCCUACGGGAGGCAGCAGUAGGGAAUCUUACGCAAUGGGCGAAAGCCUGACGGAGCAACGCCGCGUGAGUGAUGAAGGUCUUCGGAUCGUAAAACUCUGUUAUUAGGGAAGAACAAAUGUGUAAGUAACUAUGCACGUCUUGACGGUACCUAAUCAGAAAGCCACGGCUAACUACGUG
rnacentral:rRNA from 1 species